CCAGCCCCGAGAGGAACGCCUGCCUGGAUGUAGACGAGUGCGUGUCGUCUCUGGGCUCCGUCUGCAGCUCUCAGCGCUGUGAGAACACCAUCGGCUCGUACCGCUGCCUCGCCCCCUGUCCGCCCGGGCACCACGCGUCCCCCAGCGGCGCCUGCCAAGAUGUGGAUGAGUGCAGCGGGCCGCAGGUGUGUGGGGCCCACGCUCAUGUGUGAACCUGAUCGGACCUAUCGUGUCAGUGCGACGAGGGCUACAGCUCUGAGGCGGACGG
rnacentral:lncRNA from 1 species